rnacentral:rRNA from 1 species
UAUGACAGAACUGUGGGGACACGUGCAGAGAGCGGAAGCCGGGAAUGGGAUCCCGGUGCAAGCGAGGUACCAGCCGCAUUGGAAAAACCGUGCGGCAAUGGGAAGACGUGAUGCGGAGUGAAGUUUAGUAAUGAAGUCCGUGAGCUGUGCGUCAAGAAAAGCCGCUAUUGUUCAUACCAUACCCGUACCGUAAACCGACACAGGUGGAUGAGGAGAGAAUCCUAAGGCCGGCGGAAGAAGCAUUGUCAAGGAACUCGGCAAAAUGACCCCGUAACUUCGGGAGAAGGGGUGCCUGCGAGAGCAGGCCGCAGAGAAUAGGCUCAAGCAACUGUUUAGCAAAAACACAGGUCUAUGCGAAACCGAAAGGUGAGGUAUAUGGGCUGACGCCUGCCCGGUGCUGGAAGGUUAAGAGGAGAGGUUAGCGGUAACGCGAAGCUUUGAAUUUAAGCCCCAGUAAACGGCGGCCGUAACUAUAACGGUCCUAAGGUAGCGAAAUUCCUUGUCGGGUAAGUUCCGACCCGCACGAAAGGCGUAAUGAUUUGAGCGCUGUCUCGACAAUGCAUCCGGUGAAAUUGAAGUACCAGUGAAGAUGCUGAUUACCUGCGCCAGGACGGAAAGACCCCAUGGAGCUUUACUCCAGUUUGGUACUGGGAUCCGGUACUGCAUGUACAGGAUAGGUGGGAGGCUGAGAAUCGGUAACGCCAGUUGCCGAGGAGCCGCUGUUGGGAUACCACCCUUGCAGUAUUGGGUUUCUAACCAGCCGCCGUGACCCGGCGGUGGGACAAUGCCAGACGGGGAGUUUGACUGGGGCGGUCGCCUCCGAAAGGGUAUCGGAGGCGCCCAAAGGUUCCCUCAGGAUGGACGGAAACCAUCCAAAGAGUGCAAAGGCAGAAGGGAGCUUGACUGCGACACCGACGGGUGGAGCAGGUACGAAAGUAGGGCUUAGUGAUCCGGUGGUAUUAAGUGGGAAUGCCAUCGCUCAACGGAUAAAAGCUACCCUGGGAUAACAGGCUUAUCACUCCCAAGAGUUCACAUCGACGGAGUGGUUUGGCACCUCGAUGUCGGCUCAUCGCAUCCUGGGGCUGUAGUAUGUCCCAAGGGUUGGGCUGUUCGCCCAUUAAAGCGGUACGCGAGCUGGGUUCAGAACGUCGUGAGACGGUUCGGUCCCUAUCCGGCGUGGGCGUAGGAUAUCUGAGAGGAGCUGUCCUUAGUACGAGAGGACCGGGAUGGACGGGCCGCUGGUGCACCGGUUAGACUGCCAAGUCUAUAGCCGGGUAGCCAAGCCCGGAAGGGAUAAAUGCUGAAGGCAUCUAAGCGUGAAGCCCCCCUCAAGAUGAGAUAUCCCAUCCGAAAGGAGUAAACCCCCUUGAAGACGACGAGGUCGAUAGGGCAGAGGUGGAAGUGUGGUAACACAUGGAGCUGACUGCUACUAAUAGGGUGAGGGCUUGACCAA